AAAUUUCAGCUUGUGCGGAAAAUUUCAGGUUAAGGUUUCAAAUCUGCCCUGUUCUGACCGGAUUUAUUUGAGCAUGUUAGAUGCCGAAUCAGGUUUAGGUUAAAACAUGAAAAUUGUAGAAAAUGGUGUUACUAGCUGCCUGCAAAAUUUCAGCUCGAUCCGAGCACUAUAGCAUGUGAAUGACCGAAAUACCCUUGACUGCCCAUGAGCCCUAUUUGGCGCCCAGAUUUCUGUUUUCAUGGAGUUUUUCAUUUUUGACCCUAAAAAUGCAUGAUUUGGCUUUGAAGUCUUCAUAAGAAAUGUAGGUUUAUGUCUUGGCUUCGAAACGCCAUAAGAUUCGUUUCAACCCGAUAAGUGUAGCUUCAGUUAUGGAUAUUGUGCCGAAAGGUGUAUUUGAUAGUCUAUGAUGUGUAUGUGGUUGAUUUGAGAUGAAAUGGUGUUGCUUGUAGGAUGGAAAAGUAAGGAAAUUAAGGGGAUAUGCUGUCCGAUCUUUGAAAACAUUUGAUUGCUUUGAGUUUGAGUUGAAGGGCUUGGAUUUGGGUAAGGCAAUGAUAUAUGAUGGAUGAUUCUUGAGCCGUGGAGGUGAGUAACCCUAAAUUAUUUCGAAAGCUACUUAUGAACUGUUUCCUGCAUUCUUUAUUCAAUUGCAUAUCAUGCGUGCUUGCAUGGGAGUUCAUGGUAUGAUUUGGCUUCAAUGAGUUCUUGGGGAGUCUUGUGCUGAACACCAACGUCUCCACCACUUGUUUAUGUUCAUUUGGAGCUCAAAAAGGGGCUCCCUCUUACUGUUCAACGUGAAAUGAUCUAUUGGAGCGUUGGAUGUUUAAGUACAAUGAUUUCACUGGCUCACCAGAGCAAAAAUACGUACAUUUGAUCUCGGAAUCAUGACAUCAUCGAAAUGCAUUAUUGUGAAAUAUAUUUGAUUACUGAUUUUACUGGUUACUCGCUGAGCGUUAGCUCACCCAAAAACUAUUUUAUUCCCCUCCACAGGGCUCGAGGUGAAGGAAACAUUUGUAUUAAAGUUCUCCGUGUGAAUGGUUGGAGGAUCUACUGUACCAUUGGAGCUCUAGUUUUAAUUUGCGUAGUAUUUGAGAUUGUACUUGUACUUGUACUUAUGUGAGAACUGAGGACCUUUGUCUUAUGCUGGAAAUUAGUAUUGCUUAUAUCUCUUGAGGUUUUAGUUUGUAGUAUAUGUAAAUUGUGGAACUUUUGGUGUAUAUUUGUGUUAAGUGAUUAAUUAUGCAUAUAAUUGGUGAAUAUUUUCCCCUUUAUUUUGCUAAAAUAUGGUGAUAAUUGAUGAAUUUUACUCAUAUUUGAUUUUUGGUGUUGUUUUUAGGAAUUGUUGGUGAGAAUGGAGUAAAAGGCGCAUUAAAGACUAAAUUUUCAGAAGACAACAAUUUAGAAGACGUGACCACGCUUUAAUCAGUUGAGAAGUCCCAAUGUCGCAAGAAUUGAAGCAAGGCCGAGGUUGACUCUUUAUUUUUAUUGACCAAUUGAAACGAAAUCUUUGUUUCUUGAUUGAGAUAAACUCUGUUAGUUAGCUAUUUUAGGGAUGAUACAUUUGGGUUCCUUUUUAUUAUUACUAUACUUAUUAGAAGUACAAUGGCAAGAGGACUCUCGGCGGGUGAAAGGAAACGUAGGAGUAUAAGAAGGAAAAAAGAGCCUUCGGCUAGGGGGCUCUCUCGAAUCCUUUUUCUUCUUUUUCCUCUUGAUAGACUAUAAACGCUAGUAUUUUGUCGCUGCGAAUUCACCAUGAGGAGCGGCUAAUUUCUUUUCUAGUUGAAGGAUAAUUGAAGCUUUGGUUCGACAAUUCUGUGAGAUCUAAUUUGAUUUAUUUGCUUCAUCUAUUUCUGAG
rnacentral:lncRNA from 1 species